rnacentral:rRNA from 1 species
CCUACGGGUGGCAGCAGUGAGGAAUAUUGGUCAAUGGACGAGAGUCUGAACCAGCCAAGUAGCGUGAAGGAUGACUGCCCUAUGGGUUGUAAACUUCAUGUAUAAAGGAAUAAAACGAGGCACGUGUGCAUUUUUGCAUGUACGUUAUGAAUAAGGAUCGGCUAACUCCGUGCCAGCAGCCGCGGUAAUACGGAGGAUCCGAGCGUUAUCCGGAUUUAUUGGGUUUAAAGGGAGCGUAGAUGGGUUGGUAAGUCAGUUGUGAAAGUUUGCGGCUCAACCGUAAAAUUGCAAUUGAUACUGGCAGUCUUGAGUACAGUUGAGUUCGGCGUCAUUCGUGGUGUAGCGGUGCAAUGCUUAGAUCUCCCGAAGAACCCCGAUUGCGACGGCAGCUUACUAAACUGUGCCUGACAUUGAUGCUCGACCGUGUGGGUCUCAAACAGGAUUAGAUACCCUUGUAGUC